UAUCAGGCAAGGUGUAAAGAGUUAUUCGCAUACAUUACGUUUAGAAGCUAACUUACGUUGGCUAACGUAAUGUGUGAACAAACUUUAAUUAAGUUAGAUUAUUGACUGGAAAAUAUUUCUAUAUCAAAACAGUAGAAGCAAUCUCAAAAAAAAUAUGUAAAUCCUUUUUUCUCGAAAAUGAAUCAUAAUCCGAAUCAAAGAAUAACCUUAAUUUGAUAUAUUAUAAAAAU